GAUCAUGGCUCAGGAUUAACGCUGGCGGCGUGCAUAACACAUGCAAGUCGAACGAUGAAACUUUAAUGAACCCUUCGGGGAGAAUUAAAGCGGAUUAGUGGCGAACGGGUGAGUAACGCGUGAGUAACCUGCCUUACACAAGGGGAUAGCCUUUGGAAACGAAGAAUAAUACCCUAUAAAACCAUAAAAGCACAUGCAAUUAUGGUCAAAGUGAUAGCGGUGUAAGAUGGACUUGCGUCUGAUUAG
rnacentral:rRNA from 1 species